GUCCAGACUCCUACGGGAGGCAGCAGUGGGGAAUAUUGCACAAUGGGGGGAACCCUGAUGCAGCGACGCCGCGUGGGUGAAGGAGCACCUCGGUGCGUAAAGCCCUAUCAGCAGGGAAGAAGAAAUGACGGUACCUGAGUAAGAAGCACCGGCUAAAUACGUGCCAGCAGCCGCGGUAAUACGUAGGUGGCAAGCGUUGUCCGGAUUUACUGGGUGUAAAGGGCGUGUAGCCGGGCCGGCAAGUCAGAUGUGAAAUCCCAAGGCUCAACCUUGGAACUGCAUUUGAAACUGUUGGUCUUGAGUAUCGGAGAGGCAGGCGGAAUUCCUAGUGUAGCGGUGAAAUGCGUAGAUAUUAGGAGGAACACCAGUGGCGAAGGCGGCCUGCUGGACGACAACUGACGGUGAGGCGCGAAAGCGUGGGGAGCAAACAGGAUUAGAUACCCUCGUAAA
rnacentral:rRNA from 1 species